rnacentral:lncRNA from 1 species
AGGCCAGCUUGGUCUACAGAGAUCCGCCUGCCUCUGCCUCCCGAGUGCUGGGAUUAAAGGCAUGCUCCACCAACACCCGGCCAAUUUAUCUGUUUUAAAAAUGCCUUGACUUCAAAAUUUAAGUCUAAGGACAUGUUACUUUGGAAAAGAGGUUCUGCUUUUGUUUCCACAGAAGAUGAAAAGCUGUGGAUUCCUUCCAGACUAAUAUGGUUUGAUCAAGCAAGACCCCUGAAGCAGUGGUCCAGGAGAUCCAAAAUCCAAGACAGCAAAGACUAUGCAGCCUUGCAGAAUACUACAGCCAGGUCUUUGAAGUGUUUGAAGAUCAAAUAUCUAUGUCUGACUAACCUCAUAGGUAUAGGAAGUAUGGGACUCGGGAUUAAGAGGUAGACAGAUCUCUAUGAGUUCAAGGCCACCUACCUGCCACAUUGAAGAUAGAAGGAUUCAUUCUCCAGCCCCCCUGUGGAGAGGCAGCAGUCUGAGGCUUGGUGAGAGCUGGGGGAGACAGAAUCAGCCCUUUCAGCUUGAGGCAGAGCUUGGAAGCUGGACCUGAUGCCUCACACUUGUAAUUAAUGACCCAAGGCCUCAGGUGAACCGAGAAACUCCAGCAGAGGAGUUGACAAGACGAUAAAACUUGACCACAAGAAGGUCAACAUA